rnacentral:rRNA from 1 species
CACUGCCCGUCAAGCCAUGGGAGUUGGUCUUAUCUUAAGCAGGUGUGCUAACCGCAAGGAAGCAGCUUACCACGAUAAGGUCGAUGACUGGGGUU